GAUGAACGCUGGCGGCGUGCCUAAUACAUGCAAGUCGAGCGAACAGACGAGGAGCUUGCUUCUCUGACGUUAGCGGCGGACGGGUGAGUAACACGUGGAUAACCUACCUAUAAGACUGGGAUAACUUCGGGAAACCGGAGCUAAUGCCGGAUAAUAUUUUGAACCGCAUGGUUCAAUAGUGAAAGACGGUUUUGCUGUCACUUAUAGAUGGAUCCGCGCCGCAUUAGCUAGUUGGUAAGGUAACGGCUUACCAAGGCAACGAUGCGUAGCCGACCUGAGAGGGUGAUCGGCCACACUGGAACUGAGACACGGUCCAGACUCCUACGGGAGGCAGCAGUAGGGAAUCUUCCGCAAUGGGCGAAAGCCUGACGGAGCAACGCCGCGUGAGUGAUGAAGGUCUUCGGAUCGUAAAACUCUGUUAUUAGGGAAGAACAAAUGUGUAAGUAACUGUGCACGUCUUGACGGUACCUAAUCAGAAAGCCACGGCUAACUACGUG
rnacentral:rRNA from 1 species